AGAGGUUAACAGGUUCGGGAGAGUGUUGGCUAGCAGAGAGUGGGUAAAUGGUUUUUCUAUGCUUAAUCUACUCUUAAGGAGUCUCAAAUGCAACAGAGCUGCUUUCCAUGCCUGCAAGGGGGGAAAAUUAUUAGCCAUGCUCUCCUGCAUUAUUAUAGAGUUAAUGUGGGCAUGAAACAAGCAUCUAUGAAGUAGGACUAGAGCAAAUAAGCAACGUUUUGUCAGUACUUCACUUUGGCCAGGCAAAUGGAUUCACGUUGCUGAGACCGAGAAGCACCACUCUUGGUGUGGAGCACUGUGAAUAAGCCCUCCUGGAGGAAGAAUUUGAGAGAGACCUGCAGCAUCAACAUGGGGACCCCAUGUCUCCCAUGAAGGAUGAGGGGAGCAGCCCCAUGCCAUGGGAUGAGGGAGGGAAAGGAUAUUGUCCAAGGUCUUGGAGGAGGAAGGUUUUCUGUUUUCUCCUUGGGGAGGAUUCUCACUCUGCCUGUCUUCUGCUUCCCUUGACUUUGCCCUUUGAAUCUACUAUUUCCUCCUUCAGCAUCAGUCAUUGAAAACCAGCAUUUCCUGCAUGGCUGCUAGUAUCCCUCUGCUGCUGCUGCCUCACAUUAGCAUCUCCCUAUCUGGGGCUGAGCAAAUCCACACAAAGGGGGUUUAAAGAGCUGGUUGUCAGUUGAGAGUCAAACACGGGCAUGCUCAGUCCCGUGGAUAAUUACAGGGUAUUUUAUAGAGGAUUGACCCAUAAGGCGCAGCUCUAGGACCUAUAGAAACCAACAGCAAAGGGGGCAAGUGCUGAAUUAGCAUCAGUGGUAUUUGAGAGGUGGGCUCAGAUCGGAGUGUGGAGGUUGCCUUGCUCCAGGAGAGGAUACUCCUAUAUUGGGAAGGCUGUUUGUUCACACCCGUGGGUGGUGGGGCUCUUUUGCUGUUUGGGGUGAAAGGCAGUGAGGAUGGGGCCAGGCAGCACUAUUAGCUCCCUGAUCUCCUUACCAGUUUGUCAGUGUAGGGAGAGGGCUCGGUGGCUGCCAUGUCGUAGUAUGGAGCCUGCAGAGGGAGUUUCUGGAUUUCCUCCUCGUGUUUCAUGUUGUCUAAGUGAACAACCUAUAACAGACGAGAGAGAAGAGGGAUGAGAAGAGCAAGCACUGUUCUUCUGUCAUAGCUCAGGGCCACAUCUGCACCACCACCAGGUUUCACCAUGGAAGGCAGUGCAUCUUACCUUCUCCCUUCCUCCAACCAUAUGAUUUGCCUCCCAUUCUCUUUCUUUCAUUCCCAUACCCCUCACUGCCACCCAUGACAUUCAGAAUGGUGGACAUGCUCGGAAGUGCUCUCAUCUGAACACCACCGCAUUUAAAACUCAAUCCCCACUAAAGUAAGCAGGAUCCCAAUUAUAGCUUUCAAAUAGUGCCAAACAUUGGGAGUUCCGGGCAGACAAGUCCUCACUUUCUGACCCUCAAACUUAGGCCAUGGGCGAUUUUCCUCUUGCAAACCCAGUGUUCCCACUGCGGACACUGCUUGAAGUCGGUUUUCCUUGCCAGAGGAAGGAGCUUGCAGCUGGGUUAGGGAGCCAUACCUGGAUGUCUUCUGCAGUCAGGUGGCUUUUCAUCUCCUGUUUCCUCUUUGGUGGAGGGGCAGGUUUGUGGGAUGGAGGCAAGUCGAUUCUGCAGGUAAAGAAGUGGUUAGAGAGGAAAGGGGUCUGCUUGCUUUGGUGUACGUGACAAGCCGCAUCCUGCAUGCGCCAAAGAGUGGGUUGUGUUUGGCACCAAACUGCCAAUAUAACCAUAUACAUUAUUCUCUGUAACCCCUCUGUGCCCUCCUUCUCACCCCAAUUAGAAGUGUUAAUAGAAAUCAGCAUUCUGUUCCUAACUCCAAGCAAAUCCCCAUGUCGGAUUGCAGAUCCUGAGCUGCAGCUGGGCUACCUGUCUCCCAGCACUGCUUUGGGAUGGCUCCAAACCAUCCCAUGGGAGGAGGCUCAUUCAAUGUAUAGCUGUAGGGUACCAGGAAGUGUCUGGCAGUGUCUGCAAAUCAACAGGGUAAUGUCAUCCCCCAGUUCCGGAGCUUGCCUGCACUGGCAACCCCUGCCACAGGCUUCCCAGUAGGGCUUUGAGUCUUCCUUGUAGACGUGCUAUGCCACGCAGGCGUAUUCAUCCCUGACCCCAGCCAGGGGAUCAACUUUUGCCCCAGAGCAUAAGGAUUGGCAGCCUAUUAUAAUCCCAGCCUAGAGACUGCCUCUGCGCAUUCUGAUCACAUGCAUGGAUGUGCCUAAUCCCUUUACAAAACUUAUUAAACCUGAUCCACUAAUUGGCUGCCUCCCCCUCCCUUCUCUCUGUACAAUCUUCACCACAUCUUCUGACAGAGAUGGGUGACUUUCCUUGGCAACCCAAUGGAUUCUAGCUUGGGAUCGGAGCGUAGGGGUGAGUGGGAAGGUAAAAUGGGUCCCCAAGGCUCUGCAAAGCAUUGGCGUGAUGGCUUUAAAGGAAAGAAAUGCUGUUACCUUUUGGAGGCUUUGGAGCAGACGGCAAUAGGGGCAGCACCUCUGCAGACUAGGGCACCAUUGUGUUUCUAUUCUCAGCUAAAGUGGCUCUUCACUGUGCCUGUGUGGAGGGCCAUUGUGGGAAGUGGAUUGUCUGAAUGCAUCUCUAGCGUAGCACUGAUGCUGUUGAUGCAAUUUCACCUUGUGGUGCUGUAGUUUUGUUUGUGUGCCUUUCUGUUCCUCCUCCUGCUUUCCCUGUUCUCUCCCCCCCCCCCAUCUCCACUUAUCCUCCAAUGCCCUCUCUCAAACGGGACUAAAUGGAGCACAAAAUGUGGCCAAGAUGUAUCAACAAUGAGGACGGGUGUUGUGGAAGAUAAAAGCAACUUCUGGCC